CAGCAGCCACGGUAAUACAUAGGAUGCAAGCGUUAUCCAGAAUGAUUGGGCGUAAAGCAUCUUUAGGUGGCUUUUCAAGUCCGUCGUCAAAUCCCAGGGCUCAGCCCUGGACAGGCGGUGGAAACUACUAAGCUGGAGUACGAUAGGGGCAGAGGGAAUUUCCGGUGGAGCAGUGAAAUGCGUUGAGAUUGGAAAGAACACCAACGGCGAAAGCACUCUGUUGGGCCGACACUGACACUGAGAGGCGAAAGCUAAGGGAGUAAAUGGGAUUAGAUACCCGCGUAGUCCCUGUCUCUUAUAC
rnacentral:rRNA from 1 species